rnacentral:rRNA from 1 species
GACGAACGCUGGCGGCGUGCUUAACACAUGCAAGUCGAACGGAAAGGUCCUGCUUUUGGGGGGUGCUCGAGUGGCGAACGGGUGAGUAACACGUGAGUAACCUGUCCUUGACUUUGGGAUAACUUCAUGAAACUGGGGCUAAUACCGGCUAGGAGCUCCUGCUGCAUGGUGGGGGUGGGAAAGUUUCGGCGGUUGGGGAAGGAAUCGCCGAUCAACAGCUUGUUGGUUGGGUAGUGGAUUACCAAGGCCUUGAAAGGUAGGCGAGCUGCGAGGGGAACCGGACAAGUUGGACCUGGAAUACGACACAGCCUACAACCGUAGGCAGCAGUGGGGAAUAUUGCACAAUGGGCGGAAGGCUGAUGUAGCAACGCAGCGAGCGGGAAGACGGCCUUCGGGUUGUAAACCGCUUUCGCCUGUGACGAAGCGUGAGUGACGGUAAUGGGUAAAGAAGCACCGGCUAACUACGUG